rnacentral:rRNA from 1 species
UACGGAGGGUGCAAGCGUUAUCCGGAUUCACUGGGUUUAAAGGGUGCGUAGGUGGGCAGGUAAGUCAGUGGUGAAAUCUCCGGGCUUAACCCGGAAACUGCCAUUGAUACUAUUUGUCUUGAAUACUGUGGAGGUCAGCGGAAUAUGUCAUGUAGCGGUGAAAUGCUUAGAUAUGACAUAGAACACCAAUUGCGAAGGCAGCUGGCUACACAAAUAUUGACACUGAGGCACGAAAGCGUGGGGAUCAAACAGGG